AACGCUGGCGGCGUGCCUAACACAUGCAAGUCGCACGAGAAAGGGUAGCAAUACCUGAGUAAAGUGGCGCACGGGUGAGUAACACGUGAAUUAUCUACCUCCGAGUGGGGAAUAACUGAGAGAAAUCUUAGCUAAUACCGCAUAACACUUACGAGUCAAAGCAGCAAUGCGCUUGGAGAGGAGUUCGCGGCCGAUUAGUUAGUUGGCGGGGUAAUGGCCCACCAAGACGAUGAUCGGUAUCCGGCCUGAGAGGGCGCACGGACACACUGGAACUGAAACACGGUCCAGACUCCUACGGGAGGCAGCAGUGGGGAAUUUUGCGCAAUGGGGGAAACCCUGACGCAGCAACGCCGCGUGGAGGAUGAAAUAUCUUGGUAUGUAAACUCCUUUCGAUGGGGAAGGGGUAGCCGC
rnacentral:rRNA from 1 species